UACGUAGGGGGCAAGCGUUGUCCGGAUUUAUUGGGCGUAAAGCGCUCGCAGGUGGUUCGUUGCGUCGUGCGUGAAAGACCCCGGCUCAACUGGGGGAUGUCGUGCGAUACGGGCGGACUGGAGGCCAGUAGGGGGAUGCGGAAUUCCGGGUGUAGUGGUGGAAUGCGUAGAGAUCCGGAGGAACACCAGCGGCGAAGGCGGCAUCCUGGACUGGUCCUGACACUCAGGAGCGAAAGCGUGGGAGCGAUCCGG
rnacentral:rRNA from 1 species